rnacentral:sRNA from 1 species
AAAAUGCUGCUGCUGCAGCAGCUGCUGCUGCUGCUGCAGUUGCUAUUGCAGCUGCUGCUGCUGCUGCAGUUGCUAUUGCAGCAGCUGCUGCUGCAGUUGCUAUUGCAGUAGCUGCUGCUGCUGCAGUUGCUAUUGCAGUAGCUGCUGCUGCUGCAGUUACUAUUGCAGCUGCUGCUGCUGCUGCAGUUGCUAUUGCAGCAGCUGCUGCUGCUGCAGUUGCUAUUGCAGCAGCUGCUGCUGCUGCAGUUGCUAUUGCAGCAGCUGCUGCUG